rnacentral:rRNA from 1 species
UACAGAGGGGGCAAGCGUUAAUCGGAAUUACUGGGCGUAAAGCGUGCGCAGGCGGUUUUGUAAGACAGGGGUGAAAUCCCCGGGCUCAACCUGGGGACUGCCUUUGUGACUGCAAGGCUUGAGUGCGGCAGAGGGGGAUGGAAUUCCGCGUGUAGCAGUGAAAUGCGUAGAUAUGCGGAGGAACACCGAUGGCGAAGGCAAUCCCCUGGGCCUGCACUGACGCUCAUGCACGAAAGCGUGGGGAGCAAACAGG